rnacentral:pre_miRNA from 1 species
CCACUGAAUGCGUCUAAUAUCAAAAUCAUACACAAAUGAUUUGAUUUUGUAUGAGACGCAUUUCAGUGGA